rnacentral:lncRNA from 1 species
AGCAUGUGGUUUAAUUCGAUACAAAACGAAGAACCUUACUAGGACUUGACAUGCCAUAAAUCCUCUUGAAAGAGAUGGUUGCCUUUGGGAACGUAGACACUGGUGGUGCAUGGAUAUCGCCAGCUCGUGCCAUAAGGUGUUAGGUUAACAUAUGUAGAGCCCCAACUAGCUGACAAUAUUUGAUUGGAUGUGGUUUAAGAGGAUUAUCACCAAGUGCAAGGAUUGGGAUGUGCU